UACAGAGACUGCAAGCGUUAUUCGGAUUCACUGGGCGUAAAGGGUGCGUAGGCGGGCAGGUAAGUCCGUGGUGAAAUCUCUGAGCUUAACUCAGAAACUGCCAUGGAUACUAUUUGUCUUGAAUACUGUGGAGGUCAGCGGAAUAUGUCAUGUAGCGGUGAAAUGCUUAGAUAUGACAUAGAACACCAAUUGCGAAGGCAGCUGGCUACACAAAUAUUGACACUGAGGCACGAAAGCGUGGGGAUCAAACAGG
rnacentral:rRNA from 1 species